GUAGGUGGCAAGCGUUGUCCGGAAUUAUUGGGCGUAAAGCGCGCGCAGGCGGUUCUUUAAGUCUGAUGUGAAAGCCCACGGCUCAACCGUGGAGGGUCAUUGGAAACUGGAGAACUUGAGUACAGAAGAGGAAAGCGGAAUUCCACGUGUAGCGGUGAAAUGCGUAGAGAUGUGGAGGAACACCAGUGGCGAAGGCGGCUUUCUGGUCUGUAACUGACGCUGAGGCGCGAAAGCGUGGGGAGCGAACAGGAUUAGAUACCCUGGUAGUCCACGCCGUAAACGAUGAGUGCUAAGUGUUAGGGGGGUUUCCGCCCCCCUUAGUGCUGCAGCUAACGCAUUAAGCACUCCGCCUGGGAGUACGGCCGCAAGGCUG
rnacentral:rRNA from 1 species